AGGGAGGGAGACGGGACUUGGACAUUCUUACGAUUUCAGCUGAAACUUUCCGGGUCUUGGGGAGGAGUUAUUUUUCUUAACCCUCUCAAUAAAAGUUAAAUAUCUGAAUAGCUACCGUCAGUGCCAGAGACAAUCCAUCUUUUUUCUGACUAUAACAAGAAGAUCUAUAUUUUCAUGGAGACCAGAGAAGGAGAAAAAAGACACAAUAAGAAUAACUGACAUCAAUUUUCUGAAAGCUGUUCAGAAGAAGAGAAUAAGCAUUAGUAUCAGAGGAAGUCCGAGCAGAAAUGGUCAGCACUAUGCCUGGGUUUACCUGAGAGUCUGGAGCAUAUACUGUUAGAUUGUAACUACCACCAAGCAGACUGAAAAGCACACCAAGAAUGUUUCAAUUUCAAAUGAAGAACAUGAUCAGAAACAACUAUCUGUAGCCCAUGGAUGCGGUAGUACAGAUGCUGAAGAGAAACAAGCCCUGAAAAGAUUGUUCUGAUUCCUACCAGCAUGAUCUCGGAGUGCUUUGGAGGCAGUUGCUCAGAAAAGUGACUUGCAAGUAUAAAGAUGGGAGAGAGAAGACGAGGAAAUACUUUUGUAAGAAAUCCUACCAAUCCUAAAAGGACUGUGGCAAAGUUUCCUUGAAAUUCCUCUGUCUGAGAACUGGAGUCCUGGUUUGGGCAGCUUACUGCUGAGCCACGUUUGCUGUGUCUUAGAGAGAGAGCUGGAGAGUGAUAGCGUGAUUUGUUCCAGCUAUGUGGCACUGCUGCUGUUGCUGCAACAGGAUUCCUUCAUCAUUACGUGUCUUCUCUCAGGCUCCAUAGGCAGUUCAGCUCUCAGAAUCUAUGCUUAAAGUUAUGAGGUCUCAUAAAAAAAAAAAAGGAGAAAAGCCUCCUUCUGCCCUUCCCCCCUCCUAGUCUGAAGAGAAAAUAUUUGCAGUAGCCACACAAUUCCCAUUGGGCAGGCAGGAUACUGUUGCAUUAAAUUAAGCAGAAAGCAGUCUCUGCCUGUCCCCAUGAUGGGCUGCAAGAGCUGCGAUGCUGUGUGUGAUACCCAGAAGGCACACAGCCAGCUCUGUGUCUGUUUGACCUGGGAAGUGAAGUUCCCUCAGGGCCUGGGAAGAAUUGGGUUCUGGGGACGAUUCACAGCUCACAGCAGGAUGAGUGGGGGAUUCCUGCUCUGGUUCAUGGAGGAAGAGCUGGAGAAAAGCUUGCCUGAUUUUUUUUUUUUUUCCCCUCUCUCUCCCAUAUAGUAGCAGGAUCCAUAGACUGAAAUUCCAUCCUGGAUUUAACCUCCUGUAUCUGUCUCCUUGGGACUGAGCAGUUGACUUGUCUUUUUUUUGUUGGCAUGAGAGUUGCUGAUGGAUGUGCAGAUUAACUCUUGCCAUUCCUGCCUAUUCCUGGGGCAGUGGUGAUGCCUGAGAAGGGCUGGCCUAUGUUUUGUCAUAUGUUAUACAUGUGUACAAGCAGCGACAUGUUUUAAUCUGUGUAUAUUAAAGAUGAACCAAACACAAAAUAUAAAUUUGUGAAAAAUGAAUAGUUUCUCUCUAUGCUAUAGUUUGGUGAAAAGCUUUAAAUGAACACAUACUGAACUAACCGUAUCAUAAAUCUACAGGAGCUGAUGUUUUCAUAGAACAGUGAGAUACUUGUAGAGCAAUCAUCUCUUUCUACAAUUUUUUUUCAAAAAGAAGGAAGAAUAUAUUAUUUUUUUUCUCUGCAAAUGCUUUUGGCAGGUAGGACUGAUUUAAAAAUACCAAUCUAUUAUUCCUCUCAUUCUAGUUAAUAUUUAAAUUUUAGUUCAGUAAUAACUGAUUGUUAUAUGUUUGCUUUGUAAUUAGCUGCUUCCACACUACUGUAAGAUUCCAAGAAAACACAAAAAUACACCACAGAAUGUCUUUAUGGAUGACCAAAUUAAAAAUUGUAAGUUAUGAAACCAACUAAGAUCUAAAAUUUAUUCAUUUAAUUAAAAAAAAAAAAAAAAAGAAAAAGAAAAAAAAGAGUGAGUUUUCCAGUCUCUCUUGUUUGUUUUACAGAUGAUACUAGGAAAAACUGAUACAACAUGUUACUACUUUCGCCUCUAUGUGCCCAUAUAAGCUAUCCGGAUAAGUGGUAUGAAUGAGCUUUACUGCUUUUAGUGAGCUAGUCUUUACAGAGUUUCUCUUGUUGUGGGGAGGAGUGAAACAGUUCAGAUAAAUUACAAUGUGAGUGCCUUACUGUUUCUGCAGUACCUAUAUAUUCUCUUUAUGUGGUGCUGCUCCUUUUCAUGUGGUAUCUGUAUCUGCGUAUUUACAGUAUGAAGUAUGGUAAGUUUAGUAGAUUUUAAAAACAAACUAUCUGAAGGAACCAGUGCUGUUCCUACUUACGGUACAGUUGCAUCUGGUGGACUGAACUUGUUUGACACCUCAACAGCUGCCAAAAAGGUGGUUCCAUUCCCAUGUGGUUCUGGCUGUGCAGUCCUUCUUUUGCCAGGUUGAGGUCUCAUCUAAUUCUUUGUGGAACCAGCUCUGCUCACUAAAACAGCUGAACACCUCUGAUUUUUACUUUUGUACUUGUUUUCUGGCAGUUCAGAAAGCUGAAUUGCCUCACAAAGAAGUCAGACAAACUUUGGUCUGUAAAACUGCCCCUUUCAAGCUCCAAGAUCUCAGCUUCAGUCAGUUCACCAUGUAAGUCUUCAUCCUUGAUAUGUGGCCUAAUUUGCAUUCACAAAAAUCAGACUACCAAAUUAUUAAAUCAUAGUCUGGGAUUUCUUACUGGAAUUACUAUUUACAAAUGAUCGCCAUUUAAUUUUACAUAUCCAAAGUCUAAUACUGAAUGUGUCACCUUCCUAUCCCUUUGUUACUUCUGUUAUAUUAAAAUUAACCAAAGCCAACCUCUAUUAAGAGCUUAUCUUUUGAAAAAAAAUAUCCUGUUGAGAACUUUUCCUUUCCAUUCUUUCCAAGCAUAGUAUCUCUUCCCAGUUCUUUCUAGGUCAGCUGGAAAUUUCUCUUGCCCAGUGUUGACUAGUUUUCAGUCCCUCUUUUGACUUCUUCCUAGACGUAGAGAAAUGCAGUUGCAAACAAAGAAACAAAAACCAAAGAGAAGAUGCUGAAAGGGCUUAGCUGCAGUUUAGGUGCAGAGAACAGACAUUUGGGUGUGAGCUGCCUUGUGCCUCUUGCCCACAGACCCAGGCAAUAGAUCUUGCCCAUUAUAUCAAAUAGUAUGGAUGUUACUAGAGACAACUACUAAUAAACACAGGACACAGCAAUAUGACCCAAAACUUGCCUGUCUUUUAAAAGUAAGCAUAUCCCAUUCUGCUUUAAUUGGAAGCCUACAUGAAACUGGGAUAUACAGGACAAAGUUGCUCCCUAUAUGAUAGCACUUUAGUCAUCUUUAGUAUAAUUUAAUCAUUCUUGCAUGCAAAAUAUAUGAGCAAUUGCUGGAGCAAAUAGCAGAACCCAGGAUUGGGCUGGUGAUCCGAUAUCACAGCUCGAGUUCUGUAUUCCUGCAUUUCUAAGUGAAGACUGUGACUGCUGUACCUUGAACUGAGCUAAUAUUAGUUGGAAUUGUGGAGAUGGUGAUCGUAAUGUAACUUCUUUAAUCUGGGCCCAUCAGUCACUGGUAUGCAUGUGUGUGAAAUGAAAAAUGUGGGUACCAAGUCUCUUACGUUAGCUGAGUGUGUUUAAGAGGUGCAGUAGCUGUAUUUCUGGCUCCUAAACUACUUUUCAUUGGAGAAAACCUGGCAACAUAAGGAUGCUCAUGGGCUUUUCCCCCUCAGCUAGUAUUUUCCGUGUCUCUGGGGUAUGAGUGUUUGUUUUGAAUUUUGAGAGUUUUGGUAGAUCUCAUAUUUCAUUCCUCUGUGCUUCAGUUCCUCAAGGACUAAUUGCAAACAGCAGCAGGUCCUUAUCCUGUAGCAGUACUGUGAGAACAAAUUAAAUAAAAUUGUUUUGAAGCACUGAGAGGCUUUGGAAAUUUGAGGACAUUUUCACUACUAGCAAUUACUUUAUGGAAUUGAGGUAGAAAGCUACAUUUUGCAUAUUUCAGGCUAUAUAAAACACGGAAAUACACAAAAGUUAAGCUAUAUAUUUAGGGUAUAAAAUAAUGCUUGUGUUGGCCUUCUUUCCAUAAAUUUUUACUGUUUGAAAAUCCCUUCUCACAGAAAGCCCCAGGCCCCUCAAGAAAAGUUUUAAAAUAAAAAAAAGAGUAUAGUUUAACCUUGAAAAAAAUUUUGUGAAAUGGAGACAAAGCACCACUAAAACCCAAAGAAUGGGGAUGAAAAAGCUACAAAACCACUUCAGUCUGGUGAGAUAAAAUGUUGAAGCAACCUAAGAUUAACUUCUCCACUUUUCAGGUUAUUAACUCUGUCUCAUGAGAAGUUGCCCACCUAACUGGAAUAGCGAAGUUUGUUCUGGUACAGUAAAUUGUUUGCUAGGGAAUUUUCUGAUUACUGAGUUAUUUUUGUAUUAAAUGCUUUUCUCACCUACAUACCGUGCACAGGUAUGUAUGUGCAAACACACAAGCAUACACACACAGACAUCACUUGGUGUCUUCUAAUUAUAAAUAGAUGAAUAAUCCUCUUAAAUGCUGUCCUGGUUUUGUUAAAAACCAAGUUUCUCUUUUAGUGAAUUUGCCUGUCAGCUAAAGCUUUCAUUUUAGCUGCAUUUUCCUGGAGAACCAGACACAUGUUUUGGUAAACCUAGCAAUGGAAUGUUAACUUAUUGAUAAGGACAGAUUCACAUCUUGCCAGAGGGGUAACAAGAAACAGGUGACCAAGAAACUGACCAACUGUGUAUAACAUUCCAUUCACGUGAAUACUUCAUAUAAAAGCGGGAGAUCACGAGGAUCUCGUCCUCUUUGCCCUUCUUCAUCCCUUCUGCUUAUGGCUGAUAUUAGGAGAGGACCUUGCUAGUCAUCCCUGUGAACUGAGGCCUAGUGAGAGACUGAAUCCAGUUCCGAUUGGCUGCAGAGUCCAAUCCAGGACUUCGGGUGCUGGCUCUGCAGUUGCUGAGACUUUCAAGAUUGGUUUUGUAUAUUUUGUAUUAUUUUCUCUAUUCGUAUUAGUAGUAUUAGUAAAACAUUUUUAAUUUUUCCACCUCUCUUCUCUCUGUCCUCCUUUCCCUCCUGAUUGCCUGUCCUGAGUGGGAAGGGGGGAGGGGAGGGCCUGAAGAGGGAAGUGGAGGGGAGAGGAGGUUAACAAUACAUCUGCCAGGAUUUUAUUGUCGCCCCGCAAUCUAAAUCCUGGACAAAUGCAAAAAUGAAAGCAAUCUGAUAGGAACGUGAACUGUUUUCCAUAUAUACUAAUGUUUAAUCUCUCUUUUUUGCAUAACAAAGGAGUUCACAUUUACAGGACUGAAGCCUGACUAAGGUGUGGAUUCUACUUUUCCUGUGCAGAAGAGCUGAUUGAACACAGAGCAAGUGAAAGGGAUGAAAACUUUAGAAAUACAUGACUCUAGAAAUGUAGCACCACGUUAUUAGCUGUUUUAGCUGCAGUUCUCUCAGUGGAGCUGCAUCCAUUUACCCCAGUCAAGUCCCAGACCCAGUCUCACUUCCACUGCUGCUCUUUGAAUCCAUGCCAGGGCGAGGUAUAACUUAAACCAGAAACAGAUGUGCAUAACUAUAGCUGAGCUGCAGAAUAUAUAUAUGUAGGCUCCAAAUGUGUUAAUUUUCCAUGUAUUUGUAACAGAGAUGCUGAAAUAACUUUAAAAUCUUGUAGCUAAUGGACCCUGAAUGCUGAGAAAGGCUUCUCUUUUGUUUGCUGCAAAUUAUCUUUUAUUUCCGCCUUCCCCAUUUAGAUUCCACUACAUUUAUUUUGAACUGUUUUCAGCCUUUUCUGCUAAGCAUCAUGGGAGCCCACGCUUAAGUGAUUGCAAAUGUUUCUGUGGUAAUCAUUUCCAUUAGAGACGCCAGCUGGAUCGUUCCCCGUUAACUAGCUAAAACUUCUGUCCGCUGCUUUUCAAAAAAUAAAAACACAGUGAGGUAAAUAUUUUUCAUUUGUAUAAAUAGGGUCCUGAAAAUGUUGAGUGCAGGUAUAUAGGAAUGAGUAAAGUGAUCAUUCCUUGAAGCAGAGGCGUGCCAUAGUAAAGAUUCUUUUUCAGUGCACUGUGGUUUGGGAAGGCAGACCAAAAGAAAAAUGAGAGGUUUCCAGAAAAAACAGAGUAAUGGGCCAAACUAAGCAAAAUACUUAAAGCGAGCAAAGCAAGGCAAGAGUCCGUUAACAGUUCGUAGCAAGAGACUGUAUUUUCUUUUCCAACCUUCUACCCCAGGAACUUUGUCUUAACAUCAAACAAAAACCACAAUAGGAAUAAACAGAUUGCUGGGGAUGCAUUGGUUGUGCGAAGAAUAGGUUACUGCAAAGCUAAAAUCAUGUCUGUCUUUAGAUGCCAUUUAAUUUUUUAUGGAUUAACUUACAAAUCAGGACUAGAUCACUGUACAUUGUCUUGCCUUAACUGGGUGACCUGAUGAGGUGUUUAGCCUGUUUAUUAAAGUACUAGCAGAUUUAUUUAUUUGUUUAUUUACUUAUUUAUUUAUUUUAAAUGAAAGAACCUUUCAUUAAUAAGAAGGGGUGCAGUUGCAUUUAUCCUUUGAAUUGCAGGAGUGAGAAGAAUGUUUAGGAAGAUUCAGAGGUUCUCAUUUUGUUUUUUUUUCCUGUGAUAUUUGUGCAGUCUGAAAUGAAGGUGGAGAAAGAGAGUUCAGUGUUACCACUGCAAGAAUUUCCAUGUCUGUAUUUCCCGCUGAGUAAGUUCUCACAGUCCACAGUGGCGUCUGCAGUUUUAAUACUGAAAUGUUGAGGGGCAUAUCUGUCAACUUGCUCCUUCUUCCUUUUCUCUUCACCAUUACGGAACAGUUCUGCACGGAAUGUCACAUAGACUAAGCUUGUGACCGAGAUUUGCAGUCUCUGAAUUUACUGACUGAUCUUUUAAGUUGAAAUUCGCUCCCUGGGCAGGGUACCAGCACAGGAACCGUCUUGCCACGUAUGUCCCAUGUCCGUGUGGAUAAUAGGAAUGUGAAGAAGUUGUGUUGGCUCCCUGUGCCUGUGGGAGUGUAAAAAUGUCAUUGGUGGUUUGCAGAGUGGUUUUGCAUCAGCAAAAAGCAUUAAUCUCUCCAUUCUUAUUGCAAAAGAAAAAGGGAAUACCUCUGAGUUUCAGAAAAAUCACCUGAAGAGUGUACCGUUCUGCAGAGGUGACAUGUAGAGGGAGGGUGUGUUGUGGGAAGGCUGAGAUAUUUCUGUAUUCCCGAUUCUUGCUGGACUGUUCAAAGCAACAGCUAAUAAGAUAGACUGAAUAUCUUCCCAACAAAAAUGCCCUACUGCACUUCAAUAGGCCUUACUGGUGACCAACCUCACCCUGGGGCCUUCACCCUGACCCGUGGACCCGGGAGCCCCAUUUCAGCUCAAUGUGGGGCCAUCAGUACCUCCAUGGGUUAAGUUGCAGGCUUACAGGCUCCAGCCCUGUUUCUGGCCCUUCCUCCUGGCUAGACCUGGGGCCUGUGCAGUGGGUAACUCAUGUCUUGCAUAGACUUCAGACCCACAAUUGUAGCCUUGUCUCCAGCCUGUCUCCCGUCGCUUAUGACUGGACUCCCCAGAAGGACCCUGGACCUGAUUCCAUUAUGCUGAGUCCCCAACCCUUGGUGGACCCUGUUACCAGCACCUGGCUCUGCCUGUUGUAUUGCUGUCAUCCCCUCCAACCCUUACGGAAACUGUUACCAGACAAGCUUUAAAAUAUUUCUAAUUUAUAUUUGAAUGUGGAAGAAAAAAAGUGGCAGGUUUGUGGGAGGUUCCAGGCUGGAACCCAGGAGAGUUAUCAUAUUGUGAUAUCUUAAAAUAUUUCACUUUAGUUGGCUUAGAGAGAGAGGAGAUUUCUGUAAGCAGAAAAAGUGGUCAUAACUUCUCUAGGGAAAGAAAAAUUAAUUUGCUGAGGUACUGCAUCUCAUAUGGGAUCUAGAAAUGAACGAAUACAUAUGAAAGUCUCCUGUGGUAUCCUGCAUUGGAAAGAAACCAUCCUUUAUGUCAUGGUGAAAUCCAACACUGUGCAACUGUGUUCUUAUUAGUUAAAUGGGGCUGUAUUUCUGCCUGUUAUGGAAGUUGUGUCAUUCCGUUACACAUAUCCCUGUGUUUUGUGCAGUUAACUUCAGUAUCCUACUUCAGUGAGAAGUACAGAAAGUCCUAAAGAAAAUAAGUACUUUAGAAGAGUGUCAUUACACCUAUUUAUCACCCUGCUAAUUUCUAGGUUAUUUUGAAAUCAUUGGAAAAAAUCACAAAUGCAAGAAGUAAUUAUUUUUUUUUUGAAAAUGGUUACUGAUUUGUUUUCUCAGCAUGCAUUCUGGCUGGUCAUCAGUUGUUUUAAAACUGACAUGAUAAAUAAGUUAAAGAAAAUGGUGUUUGGGUGACUUAAUCUUCCCUAUCAAC